GAGCUCAAAUUUAAAAUCUGGUAGUCUUUGAUUGCCCGAAUUGUAAUCUAGAGAAGUGUUAUCCGCGCUGGACCGUGUAUAAGUCUCCUGGAAUGGAGCGUCAUAGAGGGUGAGAAUCCCGUCUUUGACACGGACUACCAGGGCUUUGUGAUGCGCUCUCAACGAGUCGAGUUGUUUGGGAAUGCAGCUCUAAAUGGGUGGUAAAUUCCAUCUAAAGCUAAAUAUUGGCGAGAGACCGAUAGCGAACAAGUACCGUGAGGGAAAGAUGAAAAGAACUUUGGAAAGAGAGUUAAACAGUACGUGAAAUUGUUGAAAGGGAAACGCUUGAAGUCAGUCGCAUUGAUCAGGGAUCAACCUUGCUUUUGCUUGGUGCAUUUCCUGAUUGAUGGGUCAGCAUCAAUUUUGACCAGUGGAAAAAGGCUGAGAGAAUGUGGCAUCUUCGGAUGUGUUAUAGCUUUCAGUUGCAUACAUUGGUUGGGAUUGAGGAACUCAGCACGCCGCAAGGCCGGGUUUUUAACCACGUUCGUGCUUAGGAUGCUGGCAUAAUGGCUUUAAGCGACCCGUCUUGAAACACGGACCAAGGAGUCUAACAUGCCUGCAAGUGUUUGGGUGGAAAACCCAAGCGCGUAAUGAAAGUGAAAGUUGGGAUCUCUGUCAUGGAGAGCACCGAUGCCCGGACCAGACCUUCUGUGACGGAUCCGCGGUAGAGCAUGUAUGUUGGGACCCGAAAGAUGGUGAACUAUGCCUGAAUAGGGUGAAGCCAGAGGAAACUCUGGUGGAGGCUCGUAGCGAUUCUGACGUGC
rnacentral:rRNA from 1 species